AAAUCAAAGAAUUACAACUUAAAAAAAUAAGUAUACAAAGUCAUAAGGUUUAGAAAUACAUUUCCAUAUUUUAAUCAGACAACAAUAUUGUUUUGGAAAGAAAACAUUGAUUAUGCUGAAAUAGUUUACUGGAGAGCUUGAACAAGAGGUAAAUCCAUUUUAAAUUAGAGGAAAACUGUUGAUUUGUAUGUAAAAUAGAAGACAAAGACAAGUUUAAAUAAAGACAAGCUAGCUAAUGAAACAGAUGCAGUGAUAUGACAAACACCUAGAAGAUGGAAUCCUGUGUUCUCAAAGAAAAAGCUAGUUCCAGAAAUAAGCUACCAAUAAUAAACUAGAGAAUGUAUUACAAGAAAGAACAACGCUAAUACUCAACAUAGCUCAAUUGCUUCAGAUAGAAAAAGAGGAGGAAAGGGUAGAACACAAGCGUGCCAGAGAAAAUUAAAGGGCAGAAGAGACACAAAAAUUCAUUGAUUUAUUAAAUUUAAUAAUUAAAUUAUACAAAGGACAAUUAAAUAAAGAAUAAAAAAUUA
rnacentral:lncRNA from 1 species